GAAACUCCAUCCUGAGGGAUGCUGCGGCGAGAGAAUCUCCAACUCAUGGAGGCUGAGCUUCUGCGGGAGAGGCCACAGCCUGAAGAAGAGGUGGGAUCGGAAAUAAACCCGCCUGGGAGACCUGCAGGCACCAGCAGUAUUCAGAGACUCAAAUCUGGGACCCCGUUCUGAGUGACAGCAAGUGCGUGGACACACACAUUCUUGAAGAUACUGCUUUUCACUUCACAUUGUUCUACUCAGCGUCUCCACUGCUCCCAGCGUCUCUGCUGUGCCUCUUCUGGACAUAUAGAAGUGAUGUAUUCUUCAUAGUCUAAGAGCCCCAGCAAUAUUUAUAGCAAUCUUUAAUUUCCACUUAGUAAGUAUUUUGAACUUAUGAAAUUCCUGUAAGUGAAUUUUAGGUCAUGCCACGUGUACUCCACCUUCUGAAGUCUGCCCGUGAUGACCUUCUUUCAGGUACAAUAGGUACAAUUUGUCUAGUGUAGAUUGUCUAAUCUUGAUUAAUAUAGAUUUUCUUCAGUUCAGAAAUACAAUUUAAAUGCCAUUAAAAACUUAAUUUUUGACUGA